rnacentral:rRNA from 1 species
UACGUAGGUGACAAGCGUUGUCCGGAUUUACUGGGCGUAAAGAGCGCGCAGGCGGUCGUUCAAGUCGAGUGUGAAAGCCCCCGGCUCAACUGGGGAGGGUCAUUCGAUACUGAUCGACUCGAAGGCAGGAGAGGGAAGUGGAAUUCCCAGUGUAGCGGUGAAAUGCGUAGAUAUUGGGAGGAACACCAGUGGCGAAGGCGGCUUACUGGACCGGUUCUGACGCUGAGGCGCGAAAGCGUGGGGAGCAAACGGG